UACGGGAGGCAGCAGUGGGGAAUAUUGCACAAUGGGCGCAAGCCUGAUGCAGCCAUGCCGCGUGUAUGAAGAAGGCCUUCGGGUUGUAAAGUACUUUCAGCGGGGAGGAAGGUGUUGUGGUUAAUAACCGCAGCAAUUGACGUUACCCGCAGAAGAAGCACCGGCUAACUCCGUGCCAGCAGCCGCGGUAAU
rnacentral:rRNA from 2 species